GACGAACGCUGGCGGCGUGCUUAACACAUGCAAGUCGAACGGAAAGGCCCUGCUUUUGUGGGGUGCUCGAGUGGCGAACGGGUGAGUAACACGUGAGUAACCUGCCCUUGACUUUGGGAUAACUUCAGGAAACUGGGGCUAAUACCGGCUAGGAGCUCCUGCUGCAUGGGGGGGGUUGGAAAGUUUCGGCGGUUGGGGAUGGACUCGCGGCUUAUCAGCUUGUUGGUGGGGUAGUGGCUUACCAAGGCUUUGACGGGUAGCCGGCCUGAGAGGGUGACCGGCGACAUUGGGACUGAGAUACGGCCCAGACUCCUACGGGAGGCAGCAGUGGGGAAUAUUGCACAAUGGGCGGAAGCCUGAUGCAGCAACGCCGCGUGCGGGAUGACGGCCUUCGGGUUGUAAACCGCUUUCGCCUGUGACGAAGCGUGAGUGACGGUAAUGGGUAAAGAAGCACCGGCUAACUACGUG
rnacentral:rRNA from 1 species